CAAGUCCAGCAGUGGGAAUCACGUCGAAUUGCAAACUCGAAGAAGCCACUUAAGUGGCCCGGACU
rnacentral:tRNA from 1 species